CCUUCCCCCAUCCCAUCCACCCCUGCCUCCCCCAUCCCUCCUCUGUUGUUUCUAUUGAGAUACUGGCAGGCCUCCCACGGAUACAGUCAGGCACAGUAUAUCAAGCUGCAGUGAGACUAGGCACCUCCUCUUCUAUUAAGGCUGGAGAAGCAAUCCGGUAGGAGGAAUGGGUCCCAAAGGCAGGCAACAGAGUCAGAUACAACCCUUGUUCCCACUGAUAGAAGUCUUACACCAAGACCAAGUUACAUGACUGCAACAUAUAUGCAGAGCACUGAGGAUGAGCUAGAAACCUAGGGCAAUGGAAACUCCCAGGAAUAUAUGAGGGUGACCCUAGCUAGGAUGCCUAGCAAUAGGGGAUAUGGAACCUGACCUGGAGAUCUCCUGUAACCAAGCAAGACUUCUGGUGGAGGAAUUGGGGCACCAACUCAGCUGCAAACCUUUGACCUACAAUUUGUUGUGCCUAUAGAAUAUUCUGUAAAGAUGGUGCAGAAAGUGUGGCAGUGGAGACCCAUACCGAGAGAGAGAGAGAGAGAGAGAGAGAGAGAGAGAGAGAGAGAGAGAGAGAGAAAGAGAGCUCUCCUCUGACCUCUGAGGGCCAGGACCCAAAGGCCUAGCAUGGCAUUUUUAUGUUUAUUUCAUUUCCUUUUUUUCAUGAGUUCUGGCAAUCAAAUUCAGGUUUUCAUGCUUGUGAGACAAGUAAGUUGCCAAAAGUUAUCUCACCAGUCAAUGGACAGCAAUGUGAACUGCAUGAGUAAUGUACACUUACUCUCGUGAUGACUUAGAGUAUCGAGUCUUGAAGAAGACUCAGCUUUGUCGGGAUGUCAAGACUGCAUCUGCAUCACUCAGUCUUCAAAAGGUCGUCUUCGCAAAUCUCACAGUACAUCAAGCCCAGCUGUUGUGUGGCUCUUCACUUCAGUCUCCUUCUGCUCACCUCAUCCCAACCUACUGGGUAAGUGUGACUGUGUCCUUCUCCAAGGUGCAGUAACAAGGUACCCAAUAUGACCCAGCUUGAGGAAGAACACCUUGUUUUAAUGUGUGACCAUCUCAGAACAGCUUCCCCUACCUGUUCUGAUGAAGCAUAUGACAAAAGGCACCCUGAAAGAGUGUGAGAGACACUGGCCUCUUGGGAGCUGGAUUCGGAACCCAGUGGAGCCUCUGUUUGGACUGGCCUACUCAGUCUGGUUGUUGAGACACAGUCCUCAGGACUCUGCCUUCAUUCUGGUGCUACUGACUUCUUUUACAUCAGUGUGAACUGUAACACAAAGCCAUGAAUGCAUCCUCCAACUCCAAUACAAAGAAUUUUCCUCCUUUUUGGGCCCAAGAAUCUGAAAGUCUCUCUACACCACAACUUCUCAGUUGUUCUAUUUAAGGUGGUUGUUAUACAUAGCAAUCAUCAGUGCUGUCCUAAAACACAGACCUGGAUAAAAGUAGAGUAACAAUGACACUCUAGUUCCCAUUAU
rnacentral:lncRNA from 1 species